rnacentral:rRNA from 1 species
CCUACGGGAGGCUGCAGUGGGGAAUAUUGGACAAUGGGGGCAAGCCUGAUCCAGCCAUGCCGCGUGUGUGAAGAAGGCCCUCGGGUUGUAAAGCACUUUCAGUGAGGAAGAACGCCUGGUGGUUAAUACCCUUCAGGAAAGACAUCACUCACAGAAGAAGCACCGGCUAACUCCGUGCCAGCAGCCGCGGUAAUACGGAGGGUGCGAGCGUUAAUCGGAAUUACUGGGCGUAAAGCGCGCGUAGGUGGCUUGAUAAGCCGGUUGUGAAAGCCCCGGGCUCAACCUGGGAACGGCAUCCGGAACUGUCAAGCUAGAGUGCAGGAGGGGAAGGUAGAAUUCCCGGUGUAGCGGUGAAAUGCGUAGAGAUCGGGAGGAAUACCAGUGGCGAAGGCGGCCUUCUGGACUGACACUGACACUGAGGUGCGAAAGCGUGGGUAGCAAACAGGAUUAGAUACCCGUGUAGUC